rnacentral:rRNA from 1 species
UGGGGAAUCUUGCGCAAUGGACGAAAGCCUGACCCAGCGACGCCGCGUGGGCGAUGAAGGCCUUCGGGUUGUAAAGCCCUUUCGUGUGGAAAGAACAUCCUCAUGACGAAUAAUCGUGAGGUUUGACGGUACCACAAGAAGAAGCACCGGCUAACUCCGUGCCAGCAGCCGCGGUAAUACGGAGGGUGCAAGCGUUGUUCGGAAUUAUUGGGCGUAAAGGGCGCGUAGGCGGUUGUGUAAGUCAGAUGUGAAAUCCUUCGGCUUAACUGAAGAACUGCAUUUGAUACUGCAUAACUAGAGUACUGGAGAGGGAAAUGGAAUUCCCGGUGUAGAGGUGAAAUUCGUAGAUAUCGGGAGGAACACCAGUGGCGAAGGCGAUUUCCUGGCCAGAUACUGACGCUGAGGCGCGAAAGCGUGGGGAGCAAACAGG